UUUGAAUUCACAUUUUAACAUUUUGUUUCUAUCUGUAUAUUAAUGUUUCUGUAAAAUCUUCCAGAAUCAAUAGCAUUCAAAUAAGGCACUACCAUAAAACCAAAAUUCUCUCCUGAAAUAUCCUGUUGUCAGGCAUGGUUUGAAAGGAGCUUCUAAUAAUUUUUGCACUUCCCAACAGGUGACUGGCAGAGAGGUGCAGCUUAUUUAAUGAACUGGAAGAACAUCCAGCCCAAGAAGAGUGACAGAAACUCAAGUUGUACCUGUACCUGCAGAACAGCUGGAAAGAGUAAGGCAUCAGGAGAAUGGAGGAACUGGAUUAAUAUAUGUGCUUAUAAAAAUGUAAAGCCCAGGUUGCCAAGAGGAUUUUGGUAUCACUGCUGGCAUAACUCCACCUGUGUGGGUUGUACUGAAGCACCAUCUGACAGAACAGCAGCCAAAGCACAUUUUGGGUUAACCUAAUAGAACCUAAUCUAACAGAAGUCCAAAACUGGAUAUGAGAAAGAUUAAUGGAAAAUCAAAGUUAAUACAUUUAGCAACGUUAUUCAAAGUUCUUAUUGUAUUACCAAGAAUGCUGUGUUCAGUUGUUAUCACCCUUGUCUGAAAAAAAUGAGCUCAGACUAGAAGAUGUACCUGGAAGGAUCAUUAUGUCACCGGGAGAAUGGAGAUUCCCACUUCAGGAAAAGAGAUGGAAGAGCCAACUAUGUUUAGACAGGUCCAGUAACGACACUGGUACCCUGAGCCAAUAGGAAGACAGACGUCAGCCUUUCUCAGGAGUGAGAACCAGCUGAAAAAAUCAGGAACAAGGUCUCCAGUAGUGACACCCUGCAAUGGAGAAGUACACAGGAGAAGCAAAGGUGAUCUCAGAGCGAUGCUUAAAGAGGACUGGAUUUGAAGACCUCUUAAUGAUUCUGACGAAUGUGGAACUGAACUCAGCAUCUUGAGGUGAAAGGGACAAAAAGAAGGCCUCCAGUGGUAGGAAAGAAGAAGAAAAGGAAUAACAUCCAUCUAACCAAAAUGUUUGUGAUUCAGACAGUCAUCAAAGAGUGAUGAAAAGCAGCUGGAUGGUCACAGCCAGAGAGUUGUAGUCACUGGCUCAGAGUGACUAUCCUAAUGAAUAUCAGUGACACAUGAUGUCCCUCAGGGGUCCGUAUAGGGACCAGUGUUAUUUAAUAUCUUUAUUAAUGCUAAAGACAAAGGAAUUGAGUGCACCUUCAGCAAUUUUGACAAUUACCCCAAGCUGAAUAGCACAGUUGCCACACCCUGGCUAACUGAGGUAUGGGUGGCCUAAUACACUGAGGAGUCUUCUCACAUCACUCUGGGAGAGGAAUGAUUACCAAAUACAUAAAGCUGAGAGAAUGAAGAUGAGAAAUCAUAUGGAAGCACAGAGGGUAAGAGGAGGAAGAAGAAAACAAAGGUGAUAUCAUAACAGAGAUA